rnacentral:rRNA from 1 species
GAUGAACGCUAGCGGGGAGGCCUAAUACAUGCAAGUCGAACGGUAACAGGGGUAGCAAUACCUGCUGACGAGUGGCGCACGGGUGCGUAACGCGUACACAACCUGCCUUAUACUGGGGCAUAACCUUGGGAAACUGAGGCUAAUUCUCCAUAACAUAUCGAAAAGGCAUCUUUUUGAUAUUAAAACUCCGGUGGUAUAAGAUGGGUGUGCGUCCGAUUAGGUAGUUGGUGAGGUAACGGCUCACCAAGCCAACGAUCGGUAGCUGGUCUGAGAGGAUGAUCAGCCACACGGGCACUGAGACACGGGCCCGACUCCUACGGGAGGCAGCAGUAGGGAAUAUUGGACAAUGGGCGCAAGCCUGAUCCAGCCAU